rnacentral:rRNA from 1 species
UGAACGCUAGCGACAGGCUUAACACAUGCAAGUCGAGGGGCAUCGAGAGUAGCAAUACUUGUCGGCGACCGGCGCAAGGGUGCGUAACACGUGAGCAACAUACCCGUUUCAGGAGGAUAACCGGAGGAAACUCUGCCUAAUACUCCAUGACAUCAUCAAACGGCAUCGUUUGAUGAUUAAAGAUUUAUCGGAAACGGCUUGGCUCGCGGGACAUUAGCUCGUUGGUGAGGUAACGGCUCACCAAGUCCACGAUGUCUAGGGGUUCUGAGAGGAAGGUCCCCCACACUGGAACUGAGACACGGUCCAGACUCCUACGGGAGGCAGCAGUGAGGAAUAUUGGACAAUGGUCGGAAGACUGAUCCAGCCAUGCCGCGUGAAGGUUACUGUCCUAUGGAUAUUAAACUUCUUUUGUAUGAGAGCAAUAAGGUGCACGCGUGCACCGAUGAGAGUAUCAUACGAAUAAGCAUCGGCUAACUCCGUG